UACAGAGGUCUCAAGCGUUGUUCGGAUUCAUUGGGCUUAAAGGGUGCGUAGGUGGCGGGGUAAGUCAGGUGUGAAAUCUCGGAGCUCAACUCCGAAACUGCACUUGAUACUGCCUUGCUCGAGUACUGGAGAGGAGAUUGGAAUUUACGGUGUAGCAGUGAAAUGCGUAGAUAUCGUAAGGAAGACCAGUGGCGAAGGCGAAUCUCUGGACAGUUACUGACACUGAGGCACGAAGGCCAGGGGAGCAAACAGG
rnacentral:rRNA from 1 species